rnacentral:lncRNA from 1 species
CAUUUUAUAUAUGUAUUCCAUAUUCAACACGUAUUAAAUAACACUAGCGUGCUUUUAUCAGUUACUUCAAUCUAUUAAUCAUAUAUCACUUAUCUUCUUACAUACUUAAAUUAUAUAUGAAUAUUAUUUAUUCCAUAGAAGGAUUUUUAAACCAUCCCCUUAGCAUCAGUAACUAAAUCACAUCUCUAAAGAACAUGGAUAUAAAUUUUACUCAUUAAACAACUUGACUUUAACCUGACUGUGAAGAACGCUGAAGGGGAAAGCAAGGAAGACUAUAUCAAGACAUGACAGAAAUUACUCCGCAGUUACAUCUAGACUUAUGACCUUUUGCUCUGAUACCACCUUUGUCACGACCCGUUUCCGUGGGCCGGACCGGCACUAGGGCCCAGGUAAGCAUAAGGCCCCCGAGGCCCGUAGUAAGCCUAAUUACUCAAAUUAUACAUUCCAUACCAUUUAUAAAAGUAACGCAUACGACAAGGCCCAAAUUUAAAUGCACAACCCUAUAACUGCGGAGUUCAAUAAUAUUCUGAUAAUAGAAUAAUUUAUACAUCCAAAAGUAAAUAACAGAAAUAUAAAGUUUACAUUUAUAACUCUGCGGAGAAGAUUGCAGAGCUUCCGUUGGAUCAGCAACUUCCUACUACCUGAGAAGUUUGGAGAGAAGGGGGGGUGAGUUUUGCAACUCAGUGAAUAAUAAUAAAUAAUACACACCACAUACAGUCACACGGAAUGCGCCCUAAUAUACUGAAUGAUCACACAACAAUCAAUCAUAUGGCAUAACAUCAGCACCCACAAACAACAUCACCUUCAAAUAAUCACAUCACGUGGAAAUUAGUCAGUGGAGUCACCGAACCCCCGAUGAGCCGUCCUCCCACAUGGCUCAUCCUCUCACAUGUGCACCAGGGAGCCGAUCCCCCAUACUGGCCGACCGGUC